AUUUAAUCUUACCUGCCGAUUUGCAUCCAGUGCUCCGGACUGGAGAGCCCAGGCUGAGAUGGUGUUAAAGGCUUUGACUACGUGGGCUCCUGGCACCAACUGAGCAAGAUAUGCCUCAAGAAUGCACAACUGGAGAUCACAGUCUGGGAAAAACAGAGGCAACUGGCACCUUUCAUCAUUAACUGAAUUGAACCGUUUGCCAACCUGCGAACUGCUUUCUCCUCAACAUCCUUUCCUUUCCUAUGAAGAAAUAACUGGAAGCAUAAUCAUUUUUUUUUUUUUGUAUAAGAAUGACUUGCUAUAACUUAAUUCUUUUGAACUGUUCAUAGGUUUUGUAGCUUAUGCCAUGCUUUCAGGUAUUAAAGAAGGGCUAACGUGUUUUACUUAAGUUAAACUAAUUAAAACUGUUAAAAAUUCAA